CAUGUCGUCUCUGUGCGCCACGCACUGUGGCCUUUCUCGACACCUGCCAUAUCACGCCGUGUUGCCCCCACCCGCGGUCGCCACCGCCGCAUAGCGCCGCCUCCAGCCGGCCCCGUCCGCGCCCUCCUCGCCGGAAGCCCAUGGUCGUGCGCCACCGCCACGCCGCACUCUCCUCGUCGAGAAUCCACGCUGGCUCGCCGCACUGGCCCCGCCCUGACCGCUAGUGCCUUGCUGGGCCCUCCUCGCUGUGCCGCAGCGCCGCCUCCAGUGCAAGCCACACUUGCCUCACCACGCAGCCCUCGUCCUCGACUGUGACUCCGUCUGUUCACCAUCACCAUCGUGACACCGGCUGCAAGAGGUAUUCUAUAUUUACCGUUGUGAUCGAUUCGAUGGAGUUGCGGUCUCGUGGGGGCUCUUCGUCGCAGGCGGGUUGUGGUAGCAACCAUAGUCGACGCUCGAGCAUGGAGGAGGCUGUGAGGGAGCAGCAAGAAAGGUUUCGUGAAGAGAUGCGGUGACAACAAGUAGCACUUAUCCGACAACAAUCAGAGUACAUGGAUGCUUACAACGCACAUGCGCAACAAGCAAUGAACAUUCUUGGUUUCUAGAGCAGGCACAACAACAACCAUUCGUUUUCCCUCAAUUUCAGCCGCUGAUGCCUCAAUGGGGAUUACAUGCUCCGACACCUCCUCCAGAUUAGAUCCGUCGUUAAGUAUCUCUAUUCGAAUGUAUUAUGAACAAGAACUUACUAUGAAAUAACUCCGGAAUUGGGGAUUAUAGGCAACAACAUGACACCACUGAUGAUACCAGCACAAGGAGGAGCUUCUGGAGGGGAGGGGGCUACCACAGAGAAGACUCUAAACCAGAUAGACGACUUCGUAAACAACUUCUUCGCUUCUGGAUUUAGUGGUUACAACUCAAACGACCACUAUAUGUGAUGAUAUAACUCUUGUCCUGAAUUUGGCCGAUGCGAUGGAUUUGAUAUAACUCUUGUGGUGAAUUUGAUAUGAAAUGUGAUGGCUUCUGAUAUAUUUGUGAGUUUGUGUUGGAUUGUAAUGGAUUUGUGUGGUGCUUUGCUGGACUGUGAUGUAUUUGUGAGGAAUUGUGGUGAAUUAUGAUAUUUAUGGUGAAUUUGUGUAAUUCUGAAAA